CUCAAAUGAAUUGACGGGGACCCGCACAAGCGUGGAUGAUGUGGAUUAAUUCGAUGCAACGCGAAGAACCUUACCUACCCUUGACAUGUCCGGAACUUGCCAGAGAUGGCUUGGUGCCCGAAAGGGAAUCGGAACACAGGUGCUGCAUGGCUGUCGUCAGCUCGUGUCGUGAGAUGUUGGGUUAAGUCCCGCAACGAGCGCAACCCUUAUCAUUAGUUGCUACGAAAGGGCACUCUAAUGGGACUGCCGGUGACAAACCGGAGGAAGGUGGGGAUGACGUCAAGUCCUCAUGGCCCUUAUAGGUGGGGCUACACACGUCAUACAAUGGCCGGUACAGAGGGUAGCCAACCCGCGAGGGGGAGCCAAUCCCACAAAGCCGGUCGUAGUCCGGAUCGCAGUCUGCAACUCGACUGCGUGAAGUCGGAAUCGCUAGUAAUCGCGGAUCAGCAUGUCGCGGUGAAUACGUUCCCGGGUCUU
rnacentral:rRNA from 1 species